ensembl:lncRNA
AACAUACACACAUCCAUAUAGCUCCAACCUACACACCUUCUCACACAUACCUUCACUUUUCAAUUACAUCCCCUGUGCGCUCAGGAAUGCCAACACAGCCGAGAAUGCCUAUUUAGAGGACCCGCUGAAAGCACUAAACUAAACUCUGCAAGCUAGGCUUCACACUACAUGCUACAUGCUGUUGGAAGCGGUCUUUGGCUUCGACCAGGCAGCUGUGAAGGGGGAGUGUUUGUGAAGACGUUGGACUGCAUUCAGGGACUCAAGAGUCGACGUCGCAGGUCAUCCACCACCUUCGCACAGAGCCAAUCCCUAAGCUGGUUAGAGCUCGCCAUCUUGUGCCGCCGAGGACUCCGACGAAGAAACUUCGAGGGUUAGACUACCGAGCGGACGGUCGGGGAGAGCCCUGAGAUUACCCAGAUCCACGCCGUGCCUCCAGCGCCCCCUCCUGGCCAAACCGGUCAACAGCAACAACAGCAACAGCAGCAACAGCAACAACAACAGCAACAACUACAGCAACAGCAACAACAACAGCAGCAACAGCAACAACAACAGCAGCAGCAACAACAGCAACAGGCCCAACAACAACAACAGCAGGCCCAACACCAUCACACACAGCUGAUGAUCGCCGGCUCCCAGUUAGCAGGGCUGGCCGCCCUCCUCCCCGCCCAGCAGCAGCUCCUCCUCCAGCAGGCCCAGGCCCAGCUCCUCGCCGCCGCCGUGCAGCAGUCCAACGCCGUGCACGCCGCCCAGGCCGCCGCCCACAAACAGGCGAGCCACCAGCAGCAGCAGCAGCAUCAGCAGCACCAGCAGCAGCAGCUGCAGCAGCUACAACAGCUGCAGCAGCUGCAGCAGCUACAGCAGCUGCAGCAGCAGCAGCUGCAGCAACAACAACAGCAGCUGCAGCAGCAGCAGCAGCAGCAGCAGCAGCAGAGCCAAUCACAGGCCGCGCAGCUCCAGCAUCAUCAGCAGCAGCCCUCGACCAAGCAGGAGCAGCAGCAGCAAGCCACGCCCCCUCCCCAGCCACAGCUGUCGCUGUCUCAGCCAAUCCAGCUCACUGCUCAGGACAUCCAGCAGCUCUCUGCAGCUGCAGCAGUU